GUAGCGGCGGCGGCGACGCGUCCCGGCCGGACCGAGUCUCCUGCCAUUCUGAGCAGGCCUGGUAUGGGUAAUGGUGUGAAGGAAGGCCCGGUGCGAUUGCAUGAGGAUGCCGAGGCUGUCCUAUCCUCGUCCGUCUCAUCAAAGUGUCUUCAAAAAGAUUUUCUGCCAAGGAGGCCUUCCGGGUCCUCUACUACACCUACCUCAACGAGGGCUUUCUCAGCUUGUGGCGCGGGAAUUCGGCCACCAUGGUGCGCGUGGUGCCCUACGCCGCCAUCCAGUUCAGCGCACACGAGGAGUACAAGCGCAUCCUGGGCAGCUACUAUGGCUUCCGCGGAGAAGCCCUCCCCCCUUGGCCUCGCCUCUUCGCCGGCGCACUGGCUGGAACGACAGCCGCUUCACUGACCUACCCCCUGGACCUGGUCAGAGCGCGGAUGGCCGUAACCCCGAAGGAAAUGUGAGUCCUUACAUCGUGAUGAGCAUCAGCCCCGGGGGCUCUGUGUCUCGGGGGCUCCCAGGUC
rnacentral:sRNA from 1 species